rnacentral:lncRNA from 1 species
AUAGUUUACAUCUCUUCUAGAUUUCCAAUUAUUGAAAAGCAUUACUCUCAUGUGAUUUAUUAUUUGCUUUGGUUAUGUUUGCCAGGACUUUAUUAUAUUAAUAAUACAUGUUCUACAUUUUGGGGUUUCCAUUUUUAAGAAAACACAGAUUAUUUAUUAUCCUCAUUAAUGAAACAAGAGAGCAAAAAAAUUAUUUAUGUCAAGAUAUUGUCCAACAUAAAUACCUUUUUACUAUAACUUGAUGCCAUCUUUGCAGAUGAGAAAAGUUUAGGACAUCGUCAAAAAGGCAAAAAUAAAUACAUAUAUAGAUAGAAUAAAACAAAGUACCUAUACAUAUGUUACUCUUUUUUACCUAAAAACUGUUCUGGAUUAUCUUCUUCUGAUGCUCUCAAAAUGUAUCACCAAAGUUUUGAAGACUUAGAAGCUAUUAAAGCGGUAGUGUUUAGACUGAGUUCUCUGUUAAUGUUAAACCUAAUAGUAAAGAAAUACCAGAAAAAAAAAUAAACAAGAAAAAUGCUACUUUCAGCACUCUGUUCCAAUAAGUAACUUAUGAGAGACACUUGCUUGUAAAUUUCCAUGAAUCUUGCCUUCGGGGAAUUUUCCUAUUGAAUACCAGGACUGCAAUACAAAAUGUGGGCUUCUACGACAUGCUGCUGUAGGAAUGUGUGCUGUAGGAAGAGCCCCGCUUCCUUCUCUAAUAACCAAUUUUCUCCUAACCAGAAAGGCAUGGGCUUUCAUGCAAAGCUCUACGGAUUUACUGUCCUCCAUGACGCUUGGGCACCACAGAAUACUGUCGGACUGCCUUAUGCGAAGGGAUCACAGAUAUCAUAAAUUCUGUUAACAGAAGAUCCAUGUAAUGGCUACAUCAAGCAGAGGGAUCCACACUUAUAUGGAAGCAUCUACUCACUCUAGAAGAAAUAUUUAAUUUUACCUUCUGAAUUCUCCACUUAGGUAGAAUAAAAGGUAAAAUAAACUUGUGGCCUCAAAUCAAAGUAGGUGGAAC